CGUGCUUAACACAUGCAAGUCGAACGAAGCACCCCUACCGAAGAUUCUUGCGAGCUUGCUCAAGAGAUGAUUCACUUGGGGUGACUGAGUGGCGGACGGGUGAGUAACGCGUGGGUAACCUGCCUCACACAGGGGGAUAACAGUUAGAAAUGACUGCUAAUACCGCAUAAGCGCACAGUAUCGCAUGGUACAGUGUGAAAAACGUUAGUGGUGUGAGAUGGACCCGCGUCUGAUUAGCUAGUUGGAGGGGUAACGGCCCACCAAGGCGACGAUCAGUAGCCGACUUGAGAGAGUGAUCGGCCACAUUGGGACUGAGACACGGCCCAGACUCCUACGGGAGGCAGCAGUGGGGAAUAUUGCACAAUGGGCGAAAGCCUGAUGCAGCGACGCCGCGUGAAGGAUUGAAGUAUUUCGGUAUGUAAACUUCUAUCAGCAAGGAAGAAAAUGACGGUACUUGACUAAGAAGCCCCGGCUAAAUACGUGCC
rnacentral:rRNA from 1 species